UCCGUAGGUGAACCUGCGGAAGGAUCAUUAAAAGAGAGCGGCCGCUCCGGCGGCCACCCCUCGAACCCCUGGAUUUUGCUCACCGAGUAGCCCCCCCGGGCCGCCCCAGGCGGCCGAUGGGGGGGCGUGAAAACCGCGAAACGUCCUGACCUCGCGAGAGACUGAGCCCCCAAGCGGCGAAUAAAUCAAAACUUUCAACAAUGGAUCUCUUGGCUCUGGCAUCGAUGAAGAACGCAGCGAAAUGCGAUAAGUAAUGUGAAUUGCAGAAUUCCGUGAAUCAUCGAAUCUUUGAACGCACAUUGCGCCCUCCGGCAUUCCGGAGGGCACGCCUGUCCGAGCGUCAUUACACCCCUCAAGCUCUGCUUGGUGUUGGGCGACGUCCCCGCCUCCCCGGCGGACGCGCCUCGAAGAACUCGGCGGCCCCAGAACGGCUCCGGGCGUAGCAAAAGCGAACCGCCCUCGGAGACCGCCUGGCGGCCUGCCGCGAGAAUGACACAACUUUUCAAGGUUGACCUCGGAUCAGGCGGGGAUACCCGCUGAACUUAAGCAUAUCAAUAAGCGGAGGAAAAGAAACCAACAGGGAUUGCCUCAGUAACGGCGAGUGAAGCGGCAACAGCUCAAAUUUGAAAUCUGGCCCCCUCGGGGUCCGAGUUGUAAUUUGCAGAGGGUGCUUCGGCGUCGGCCCCGGUCCAAGUUCCUUGGAACAGGACGUCACAGAGGGUGAGAACCCCGUACGUGGCCGGGAGCCUUCGCCGUGUGAAGCCCCUUCGACGAGUCGAGUUGUUUGGGAAUGCAGCUCUAAAUGGGAGGUAAAUUUCUUCUAAAGCUAAAUACCGGCCAGAGACCGAUAGCGCACAAGUAGAGUGAUCGAAAGAUGAAAAGCACUUUGGAAAGAGAGUUAAAAAGCACGUGAAAUUGUUGAAAGGGAAGCAGUUGCAGCCAGACUUGGCCGCGGGUGCUCAUCCGGGCUUCUGCCCGGUGCACUCGCCCGCGGUCAGGCCAGCAUCAGUUCGGGCGGCCGGAUAAAGGCCCUGGGAAUGUGGCUCCCCUCGGGGAGUGUUAUAGCCCGGGGCGCAAUACGGCCAGCCUGGACUGAGGUCCGCGCUUCGGCUAGGAUGCUGGCGUAAUGGCUGUAACUGGCCCGUCUUGAAACACGGACCAAGGAGUCUAACAUCUAUGCGAGUGUUUGGGUGUCAAACCCAUGCGCGUAAUGAAAGUGAACGGAGGUGAGAGCCGCAAGGCGCAUCAUCGACCGAUCCUGAUGUCUUCGGAUGGAUUUGAGUAUGAGCAUAGCUGUUGGGACCCGAAAGAUGGUGAACUAUGCCUGAACAGGGUGAAGCCAGAGGAAACUCUGGUGGAAGCUCGCAGCGGUUCUGACGUGCAAAUCGAUCGUCAAAUUUGGGUAUAGGGGCGAAAGACUAAUCGAACC
rnacentral:rRNA from 1 species